UACGGGGGCGGGCGUGCUUACACAUGCAAGUCGAACGAACCUUCGGGUUAGUGGCGGACGGGUGAGUAACGCCGUGGGAAUCUGCCCUCAGGAGGGGGAUAACGGUUGGAAACGGCCGCUAAUACCCCAUAUGCCGAGAGGUGAAAUGAAUUUCGCCUGAGGAUGAGCCCGCGUCUGAUUGGCUAGUUGGUGAGGUAAGGGCUCACCAAGGCAUCGAUCAGUAGCUGGUCUGAGAGGAUGAUCAGCCACACUGGGACUGAGACACGGCCCAGACUCCUACGGGAGGCAGCAGUGGGGAAUUUUCCGCAAUGGGCGAAAGCCUGACGGAGCAACGCCGCGUGAGGGAUGAAGGCCUCUGGGCUGUAAACCUCUUUUAUCAAGGAAGAAGAUCUGACGGUACUUGAUGAAUAAGCCACGGCUAAUUCCGUGCCAGCAGCCGCGGUAAUACGGGAGUGGCAAGCGUUAUCCGGAAUUAUUGGGCGUAAAGCGUCCGCAGGCGGCCCUACAAGUCUGCUGUUAAAAAGUGGAGCUUAACUCCAUCAUGGCAGUGGAAACUGUUGGGCUUGAGUGUGGUAGGGGCAGAGGGAAUUCCCGGUGUAGCGGUGAAAUGCGUAGAUAUUGGGAAGAACACCAGUGGCGAAGGCGCUCUGCUGGGCCAUCACUGACGCUCAUGGACGAAAGCCAGGGGAGCGAAAGGGAUUAGAUACCCCUGUAGUCCUGCCCGUAAACGAUGAACACUAGGUGUCGGGGGAAUCGACCCCCCUCGGUGUCGUAGCCAAAGCGUUAAGUGUUCCGCCUGGGGAGUACGCACGCAAUGGGAACCUCAAAGGAAUUGUCUGGGGCCCACAGACGCGGUGGAGAAGGUGUUUAAAUUCAUGCAACCCGUAGAACCUAAAUGGGGCUGACUCCCUAGUAAUCACUUGCAAAU
rnacentral:rRNA from 1 species